GAGUUUGUCUUCCGACGAAAAUUAGUCAUUGUCAGUCUGGAACCUGAUCUGUACAGAUCAGAUUGAGCAGCAACUCCAUUGCCAAUUUUUUGGCAACUUCAAAAUUCUCUGUUCCUUUGGUUAGUUAAUAACCACACCACAAAAUGCCUGGUUGCGGUCCCUGCUGUGGCCCCUGCUGCGGCCCUUGCUGCGGCCCCUGCUGCGGGCCGUGCUGCGUGCCCUGCGCGCCGUGCUGUGUGCCCUGCUGUGUACCGUGCUGUGUGCCGUGCUGUGUCCCGUGCUGUGCACCCUGCUGCGGCCCUUGUUGCAAGCCUUGCUGCUGAUAAACAAGUGCCCGGGUGAGGCGCUACCAUCGUCCAACUGGGACCACAAUGUGAUACCAGGCUACGGAAGUACCAGCCUAUGGAAGUACCAACCACUAUACUAUUCUGGUGCUGUUUCCUCCAAGAUCUUUGUGUGCGGGUGAACAUCGAAGCUGCUGGGGAUGGCAAGCCCAGGCUAAACAUUUCCGACAUUCUGUGUAAACAAAAGUUGCUGCUCAAACUAAAUUUUUGUUGUAAUGUAAAUCAUUUUUUGGGUCAUCCAAAUAAAAAGGACCGACAAAA